GACGCGUGACUGUAGACACGCCCUCACAGGUUGGUGCCGCGUCGCUCUUGGUCGCUAAACACGGAGAAGCCAAUACUUUUCUCCGCAUCUUGACACCUUAUGAAUCACAAACAAUUCAGAGUAGGUUUCUGUUAUCAUUUUAUCUUUCCUGGAAAUUUGCCUUUCAAAAUCCGGAUGCGAAGUUUUUUUUACUAAGAUGCAUGCUCUUGUGUUGACAUUAGCCAGUUGACAGAUGGAGAGUCAUGUUUGUGCAGUCCUGUACUGUACUGUACGAGCGAAAUGACGACGUGCCGGUUGCUUCCGUGCCGCACGGUGCAGAGCAUCAAGACUCGAUGUUUAUGAACGUAAGCAAUGUUGGUGUGAGUGGUAGUGUGUCACGCUGGACGUGGGUCUCUGCGCGUCGUCGUGUCGUGUUGCGGUACAGUGAGAGUGGCAUGGCAGCAACAUCGUGUCGCGGUUAGGGCGAGCGCGGUCGAUGAGCCCGACGCAGAGGGCAGCACGGAGCCGCCGCGGGGGGCGCUCCCGCGGCCCCCGCGCCCUUUUCACUACCCCGUCUGCUUGCGCACUCUGUAUAGCCGCGCCGCGCGCUCACUAAUGCGUCAUAUCGCCAUCGAAGCUAACGCGCUUUCUGCCGCUCUAUAACUAUAGUUCGCGCGCGCCAUGUGAACUUAUGUGUUGACUUAUGUAGAGACAUGAGACGCGUCGGCGUGGUCGGGAAGCUUGAUUUCGACUUCAUAAUGACUUUUGCCGUUAUGGCCAGUGACUUUGGUGCCUGUGAGCUGAGAGACAAUAUAGUGGUACACGCGGUGGGCGCACGUGCUCUCCUCUGCUUCCUAAAACUGAGUACUGGCUGAACAAAAAAUGUGGCGAAAGAACAUGACGUGCUUCUCAGCACUGGGGACUUAAAAUGUUUUGGAUUAUUCCGGUACAAAGACGAGCAACCACCAUGACAGACAACGGGUGACAUACAAUCGUCAUAUUCGAUCUUGUAUCGAGAGUAACGGCAGCAUCGUCAGUUGAAGGAGUCAUGGCGUGAAGCGGGGAUCAAAGGAAACAAAAUGGCGACCUGACCUUAAAUAUUAAAAGCCUGCCCUGGAGGCGUAGCUGACAUCAGGAAGCUGGGCUGCAGUGCUGAUGGUGGUUUUCUCCAGAUCUUGUAUCGAGAGUAACGGCAGCAUCGUCAGUUGAAGGAGUCAUGGCGUGAAGCGGGGAUCAAAGGAAACAAAAUGGCGACCUGACCUUAAAUAUUAAAAGCCUGCCCUGGAGGCGUAGCUGACAUCAGGAAGCUGGGCUGCAGUGCUGAUGGUGGUUUUCUCCAGAUGGCGAAUCUUCAGCUUCGUUUGCAUCACAAUCAAAUGAAAAAUUAUAUAAUUUUAUAAGUAGUUUAAUUCAUUUACAAAUGUUAAAUAUUUAUGCAAUAAAUCAAUUUUGUGUA